rnacentral:lncRNA from 1 species
AAAAAUAUGAAAAAAUUAUAGGGAUACAAAAAUCAGUUUAGAGAAUGGGAAUCCUCAUUCCCAACCCCCCAUGAGAAUGUGAUUCACAUUUCUUAUUCCUAAAUUAUGUGGGACCUACACAUUUUAUUCUCAUUCUCAAAUUAUAUUUUUACCAAGUAAACAUAAAUUCAUUCUCAUCUCUUUAUUUCUAUUCCAUAAACCCUCAAGUAAACAUACCAUAAAUUUUAAAAGUUUUACUUAAAGAUAGGGAUGGCAAUAAAAUCUGGAUCCGGCCUGCAUCUACAAGGAUCUGGAAGAUCCAGAUUCGAAAAAAUACGGAUUCGCAUGUUAAAAAAUGCAGAUCCGGAUAUAGAAAAUUAGAAUCCACACGGAUCCGGAUCCUAAUCCAGAUGCAAGUGCAUCCGAAAAGCUAGAUAUCUAAAUCCAUUUAAUUUUUAUAUUAAAUUAAAAUAUAUAUUAACUUAAAGUAAAAACAAAUUUAACUUAAGUCCCUCACCCUAAUGUCAAUAUCGCAUUCACACACACGCUCACAAUACUUCACUAGCAGCUGCGACCCACAAAUCCUUAACACCCAAAUCCCCCAAUUUCGUAAGGAUGUCAUCGUCUGUCUCAUGGCCUCGCCUAAACCUUGUGUCCAAGCCUCGCCCUGAGUCGGUUGUUGUCGGUACACGCUGCACAUCUCGCCGUUAUCGAAUCCUUGCCAUCAUCGAAGCCUCGACUAAGCACGCCGCUAUCACUGUUGUCCAAGCCUCGCCUAAUUGGAUAUUUCUUUUGUUUCCGUUUUUUUGGUAUUAUUAAUUACAUGGCAUUUAUUUUUUCUAGUUAAUGAUUUGGUAUUUUGAUUGAUUGGUUGGUUAUAUUUAAUGAGUUUAAUCUAAUGUAACUUGUUUAAACUUCAAAAUUUUACUGGCUCAAUUUAAUUUUCUUUGCUGAUUUGUUUAGUCACUUUAAUUAAAUGCAUUAAUUUUUAAUAUAAUGUAAAUGUUUAAUAGGUUUUGGGA